rnacentral:rRNA from 1 species
UACGAAGGGGGCUAGCGUUGCUCGGAAUCACUGGGCGUAAAGGGUGCGUAGGCGGGUCUUUUAAGUCAGGGGUGAAAUCCUGGAGCUCAACUCCAGAACUGCCUUUGAUACUGAAGAUCUUGAGUUCGGGAGAGGUGAGUGGAACUGCGAGUGUAGAGGUGAAAUUCGUAGAUAUUCGCAAGAACACCAGUGGCGAAGGCGGCUCACUGGCCCGAUACUGACGCUGAGGCACGAAAGCGUGGGAGCAAACAGGG